rnacentral:rRNA from 1 species
UACGAAGGGGGCUAGCGUUGCUCGGAAUUACUGGGCGUAAAGCGCACGUAGGCGGCUCUUUAAGUCGGGGGUGAAAUCCUGGAGCUCAACUCCAGAACUGCCUUCGAUACUGAAGAGCUUGAGUCCGGGAGAGGUGAGUGGAACUGCGAGUGUAGAGGUGAAAUUCGUAGAUAUUCGCAAGAACACCAGUGGCGAAGGCGGCUCACUGGCCCGAUACUGACGCUGAGGUGCGAAAGCGUGGAGAGCAAACAGG